rnacentral:rRNA from 1 species
UUUAUAAAUAAAUUAAUGGCCGCGGUACUUUGACCGUGCUAAGGUAGCGCAAUCAAUUGGCUUUUAAAUGGAGUCAAGUAUGAAUGGAGUAACGGAAUUUAGCUGUCUCUAAACUAAUUUAUUGAAAUUACUGUAGAGGUGAAAAAGCCUUUAGAAAGAAAAAAGACGAGAAGACCCUUAGAGUUUAAUUUAAAAUAAAUAGUUAUUUAUGAUAAUUUUGUUGGGGCAACGUAAGAACAGAUUUUAACUUCUUGAAAUUUAUUUAUCGAUUUUUAUAAUUAUGAAUAAACUACCUUAGGGAUAACAGCAUAAUUUAAUAUAUAAGUUUGUGACCUCGAUGUUGGACUAGGAAACUUAAUGGUUAGCCGCUAUUUAGAAUGGUUCUGUUCGAACUAUAAAUCCU